rnacentral:rRNA from 1 species
GUCCACGCCGUAAACGAUGAGUGCUAGACGUCGGGGCCCUCAGGGCUUCGGUGUCGCAGCUAACGCAUUAAGCACUCCGCCUGGGGAGUACGGCCGCAAGGUUAAAACUCAAAGGAAUUGACGGGGCCCGCACAAGCGGUGGAGCAUGUGGUUUAAUUCGAAGCAACGCGCAGAACCUUACCAGCCCCUUGACAUGGGCGUCGCGGGUGGGGAGACCCACCCUUCGGUUCGGCCGGACGCCGCACAGGUGCUGCAUGGCUGUCGU